rnacentral:rRNA from 1 species
CACGUAGGGGGCGAGCGUUGUCCGGAUUUAUUGGGCGUAAAGAGCUCGUAGGCGGCUCGGUAAGUCAGGUGUGAAAACUCUAGGCUCAACCUAGAGACGCCACCUGAUACUGCUGUGGCUAGAGUCCGGUAGGGGAGCAUGGAAUUCCUGGGUGAUAGCGGUGAAAUGCGCAGAUAUCAGGAGGGAACACCAGUGGCGAAGGCGGCAUCCCUGGACCGGGUAUUGAC